rnacentral:rRNA from 1 species
AGAGCGAACGCUGGCGGCAGGCCUAAUACAUGCAAGUCGAACGAACCCUUCGGGGUUAGUGGCGGACGGGUGAGUAACACGUGGGAACGUGCCCUUUGGUUCGGAACAACUCAGGGAAACUUGAGCUAAUACCGGAUAAGCCCUUCGGGGGAAAGAUUUAUCGCCAUUGGAGCGGCCCGCGUCUGAUUAGCUAGUUGGUGAGGUAACGGCUCACCAAGGCGACGAUCAGUAGCUGGUCUGAGAGGAUGAUCAGCCUCACUGGGACUGAGACACGGCCCAGACUCCUACGGGAGGCAGCAGUGGGGAAUAUUGGACAAUGGGCGCAAGCCUGAUCCAGCCAUGCCGCGUGGAUGAUGAAGGCCCUAGGGUUGUAAAGUCCUUUCGGCGGGGAAGAUAAUGACGGUACCGCAGAAGAAGCCCGGCUAACUUCGCGCCAGCAGCCGC